GCAAGUCGAACGAACUCUGGUAUUGAUUGGUGCUUGCAUCAUGAUUUACAUUUGAGUGAGUGGCGAACUGGUGAGUAACACGUGGGAAACCUGCCCAGAAGCGGGGGAUAACACCUGGAAACAGAUGCUAAUACCGCAUAACAACUUGGACCGCAUGGUCCGAGUUUGAAAGAUGGCUUCGGCUAUCACUUUUGGAUGGUCCCGCGGCGUAUUAGCUAGAUGGUGGGGUAACGGCUCACCAUGGCAAUGAUACGUAGCCGACCUGAGAGGGUAAUCGGCCACAUUGGGACUGAGACACGGCCCAAACUCCUACGGGAGGCAGCAGUAGGGAAUCUUCCACAAUGGACGAAAGUCUGAUGGAGCAACGCCGCGUGAGUGAAGAAGGGUUUCGGCUCGUAAAACUCUGUUGUUAAAGAAGAACAUAUCUGAGAGUAACUGUUCAGGUAUUGACGGUAUUUAACCAGAAAGCCACGGCUAACUACGUGCCAGCAGCCGCGGUAAUACGUAGGUGGCAAGCGUUGUCCGGAUUUAUUGGGCGUAAAGCGAGCGCAGGCGGUUUUUUAAGUCUGAUGUGAAAGCCUUCGGCUCAACCGAAGAAGUGCAUCGGAAACUGGGAAACUUGAGUGCAGAAGAGGACAGUGGAACUC
rnacentral:rRNA from 2 species